rnacentral:rRNA from 1 species
UACCAGCUCUCCGAGUAGUGUGGAUGUUUAUUGGGCCUAAAGCAUCCGUAGCUUGCUAAGCAAGUCCCCUGUUAAAUCCACCGAUUCAAUCGGUGGAUUGCGGGGGAUACUGUUUGGCUAGGGGACGGGAGAGGCCGACGGUAUUUCCGGGGGUAGGGGUGAAAUCCUAUAAUCCCGGGAAGACCACCAGUGGCGAAGGCUGUCGGCUAGAACGCGCCCGACGGUGAGGGAUGAAAGCGUGGGGGAGCGAACCGGAUUAGGAUACCCGGGGUAGUCCCAGCUGUAAACGAUGCAGGCUAGGUGUUUGGGCGGCCACGAGCCGCUCUAGUGCCGCAGGGAAGCUGUUAAGCCUGCCGCCGUGGGGAGUACGGCCGCAAGGCUAGAAACUUAAAGGAAUUGGGCGGGGGAGCACCACGAAGGGGUGAAGCGUUGCGGUUU